rnacentral:misc_RNA from 1 species
CAUCAUAUUCCUUGUUAUGUGGCAACCACUUCUGAAAAAAUACUAAAAUAGUGUUGUUGCAAUUUCCAACCUAGCAAUUGAUUCUAGGAAAAUAGUGAUGCUACAAUGGUAGGUAGGGAAACUAAGGAAGUUGGACGCUCAAGACAUUAGCAUACCCUUGGACGCUCGUAAGCAAUUGAACCAUCUUCACCAUCCCUGGGACUAGACGGUGCUGCCACUUGCUCUGCUGUCAUACUCUUAAGACCAAGAAUAUUGACAAGAGAAUCAAAACCAAAUAAUUCCAAUUUGUGUUCCCCCUCUGAGGUAUUGACACUUCCGUUAGCAGGAAUGCCCCCUUGACUUGCAUCAGAAUGCAUGUUUUCUGGGAUAACUAAUUUUGCCUUCUUGUGGUUAGUUUGGUGAGAAACGGGGGAGGAUGAAGAUCCAGGAUCGAUGGAGGACAUCUCGAGUACUGCGCGAUCGUUAGCGACGACCGGACGGUACUUGCGACCACCGUGCUUGGCUUGGAAUUCGUCUUCCAUACCGCUUUCCACAUCUUCAUUGUCCAUUGUUGAAGAUCUAUAUUCCUUCCUUGGCAAAGAAAUAUAGAUCCAAUUCGAAAACGAAACUAAAGGAAAAUUACUUUCUUAAUAGAGAAGAAAUUAAAGGCCCUAACGGAAAGAUCUCAGAGUCUCAGACUGGAAAUGAAAGUUGAAUUGUAUUUAGAAAGAGAGAGAGGAAAAAACGUUCUUUCUUGGUUGGUUCCAGCUUUUAUGUUCAAUACAAUUACAAACAGACGAGAGAAGAAGGGGAUGGAUGAUGAUGG